UCUUCUGAUCUGGUAGUAUAGUGCAUAUGGAUAGCUAUCUGUCCAGAUAUAGGAAUUCUGUAUUUUUGUCUGCCAAGAGCAUC